AUUGAACGCUGGCGGCAUGCCUAACACAUGCAAGUCGAACGGCAGCACAAUAAAGAUUUCGGUCUUUAUGGGUGGCGAGUGGCGGACGGGUGAGUAACGCGUAGGAAUCUGUCCCGGAGAGUGGGAUAACCCGAGGAAACUCGGGCUAAUACUGCAUGACAUUGAGAGAUCAAAAGCAGGGGACCGAAAGGCCUUGCGCUCUGGGGUGAGCCUACGUCGGAUUAGCUAGUUGGUGGGGUAAAGGCCUACCAAGGCGACGAUCCGUAGCUGGUCUGGGAGGAUGGACAGCCACACUGGGACUGAGACACGGCCCAGACUGCUACGGGAGGCAGCAGUGGGGAAUCUUGGACAAUGGGGGAAACCCUGAUCCAGCGAUGCCGCGUGUGUGAAGAAGGCCUUCGGGUUGUAAAGCACUUUAGGUGGGGAAGAAAGGUAGCGAGUGAAUAACUUUCUGCUGUGACGGUACCCACAGAAUAAGCACCGGCUAACUCUGUGCCAGCCGCCGCAGUAA
rnacentral:rRNA from 1 species